GACGAACGCUGGCGGCGUGCUUAACACAUGCAAGUCGAACGGAAAGGCCCUGCUUUUGUGGGGUUCUCGAGUGGCGAACGGGUGAGUAACACGUGAGUAACCUGCCCUUGACUUUGGGAUAACUUCAGGAAACUGGGGCUAAUACCGGAUAGGAGCUCCUGCUGCAUGGUGGGGGUUGGAAAUUUUCGGCGGUUGGGGAUGGACUCGCGGCUUAUCAGCUUGUUGGUGGGGUAGGGGCUUACCAAGGCUUUGACGGGUAGCCGGCCUGAGAGGGUGACCGGCCACAUUGGGACUGAGAUACGGCCCAGACUCCUACGGGAGGCAGCAGUGGGGAAUAUUGCACAAUGGGCGGAAGCCUGAUGAAGCAACGCCGCGUGCGGGAUGACGGCCUUCGGGUUGUAAACCGCUUUCGCCUGUGACGAAGCGUGAGUGACGGUAAUGGGUAAAGAAGCACCGGCUAACUACGUG
rnacentral:rRNA from 1 species